AAAACUAAUGUACGUGUAUCGGCAUAAAUGAAGGUACGAGUAUGUACCCGAUACUGAUACGGGUACGUACCCGGUACUGGUACUCUACCUCAAAUGGAGUACCCAUACAUCAUACUAUGUUCCUUUGUAUAUUUUUUUGUUUGUUUUGUAUGCAUUGGGAGGGCUCAACCUCAUUGUACUCCCUUCUUGUGUUAUCCCUUUUUUCUAUCUAGAAGACAAAUUUGGACUUGUCAUUCUGCAUCUUUUGAAAUAGCUAUCAUCAUGGGUCCUUUCUACUGGUGUUUUGUAUCACAUAUGAAUCUCCAUAAUAUGCAUGAUCAAUAUCUUUAUUUUUAAAUAAAAUUGCUUGUAUAUGAAGAUGUUUAAUUUGUCCAUAUUUGGAACCACUCUUUGAUCUUUUUCUUCAUGAAAUUGUAGGAUGGAAGAAUUAGUUAUGAGGAAAUUACCAAUCGGAGUUUUAAACUGAUGAAGGAAAAUAUGAUCAAUGACCAAUUAUAUGUUUUGGAGACCCUACCCCAUUUCUGGGGUGAAAUAUGAUAUAAGUCUUGGCUGGCUAUUGUUGGAAGUCCCAAACUCAGUUUGUUUGUUGUACAUAAAGAUACACAUCCUUAUUUAGUGUCUACUGAGCCGUGAUGUACCAUGUAUGUGUGAUUUGCAUCAAAUCCUUCACCAUUCUGGUUUGUUGAGGGUAUCCGCAAAAAGGCGAGGAUGGAAGGAUUGUACAGGUCAUCAAAUUGUGUUGCUGUAAUUUGUAAAUAUUUCAAGUAUUCACAGCUACUACAAUGACUAAAUCAUUUGGCACUUUUUUUUCUUUCUUUUUCAUUUGGCACUUUUAGCCGAAUAUUUAUAUUUUUCUUGUGUUAAAUGAACCAGGGAUGACAUUUUUAGCCGUGUGAAAUUGAAUAACAAAUUGUAUGACUUCUGGAAUACAGAUUGUACUGCAUUUAUCAUUGUAAGAUCUUGGUUGGUGAUAAUAACUUAAGG
rnacentral:lncRNA from 1 species